GCUAGGUACAGAGGCAUGUGCCUGUAGUACCAGCUACUGGGGAGGCUGAGGCAGGAGGAUUGCUUGAGUCCAGGAAUCCUGGGCAGUAGUGCUCUAUGCCAAUCAGAUGUCCACACCAAGUUGAGCAUCAAUAUGGUGACCUCCUGGAAGCAGAAGACCAUCUGAUUGCCUAAGAAGGGGUGAACUGAACCAGGCUGGAAAUGGAGCAGGUCAAAACUCCCACACUGAUCAGUAGUGGGAUCACACCUGUGAAUAGCCAAUGCACUCCAGCCUGAACAACAUAGCAAGAUCCCGUUUCUU
ensembl:misc_RNA Metazoa_SRP Metazoan signal recognition particle RNA